GACAGAGGCUAGAUGGUCGCCUCGCCACGAAUCGUGGCGGGGAGGAAAGUCCGAGCUCCAUAGGGCAGCGUAAAGGGGUAACCCCCCUUCCUCUAGCAAUAGGGCGGAUUAGAGCCACAGAGACGAGUAGGGUCGUCAUGGGGCCAGACACCGCAAGGUAUCUGGCCUUUAGAUCCGAGGUGAAACGCGGCAAUCUCUACGCGGAGCAAGGCCAAAGAUCCUAACACCCCGCCGUGAGCAAUCACUGGCGGGGAUACGGUUGCCCGCCAAACAGGUUAGGGAGGUAGGCCGCAAGAGCCCUGCCGCAAGGCAAGGCCCAGAUGGAUGACCAUUGCUCCGAAGCUCCCCUGCGAAAGCUGGGGAGCGAAGGAGAACAGAACUCGGCUUAUCGGCCCCUGGCGGCU
rnacentral:RNase_P_RNA from 1 species